UAUUUUAUCUGGAAUUAAUUCUCAUCUAAUUAUAAAAGAUACACAUCUAAUUACUUAUUAAAAUCCCCCGUAAUCGCAAGAUCUCCUACAUUAAUAAGUUAAUGUAAAACCCUGGAAGAUCACAAGUACUUCUGACAAGGAA
rfam:Populus trichocarpa isolate Nisqually-1 chromosome 1, whole genome shotgun sequence.